CAAGUACUCCCUCCAUCCGGAAUUACUUGUCAUCAAAAUGGAUGUGUCUAGAACUAAAAUACAUCUAGAUACAUCCAUUUCAAUGACAAGUAUUUUCGGAUGGAGGGAGUACAAG
rfam:Triticum aestivum genome assembly, contig: Triticum_aestivum_CS42_TGACv1_scaffold_146142_2BS